rnacentral:rRNA from 1 species
UGGGGAAUUUUGGACAAUGGGCGAAAGCCUGAUCCAGCAAUGCCGCGUGUGAAGAAGGCCUUCGGGUUGUAAAGCACUUUUGUCCGGAAAGAAAUCCUUGGCUCUAAUACAGUCGGGGGAUGACGGUACCGGAAGAAUAAGCACCGGCUAACUACGUGCCAGCAGCCGCGGUAAUACGUAGGGUGCAAGCGUUAAUCGGAAUUACUGGGCGUAAAGCGUGCGCAGGCGGUUUGCUAAGACCGAUGUGAAAUCCCCGGGCUUAACCUGGGAACUGCAUUCGUGACUGCAAGGCUAGAGUAUGGCAGAGGGGGGUAGAAUUCCACGUGUAGCAGUGAAAUGCGUAGAGAUGUGGAGGAAUACCGAUGGCGAAGGCAGCCCCCUGGGCCAAUACUGACGCUCAUGCACGAAAGCGUGGGGAGCAAACAGGAUUAGAUACCCUGGUAGUCCACGCCCUAAACGAUGUCAACUAGUUGUUGGGGAUUCAUUUCCUUAGUAACGUAGCUAACGCGUGAAGUUGACCGCCUGGGGAGUACGGUCGCAAGAUUAAAACUCAAAUG